rnacentral:rRNA from 1 species
AUUGAACGCUGGCGGCAGGCCUAGCACAUGCAAGUCGAGCGGCAGCGACUUAACUGAACCUUCGGGGGACGUUAAGGGUGGCGAGCGGCGGACGGGUGAGUAAUGCCUGGGAAUAUGCCCUGAUGUGGGGGAUAACUAUUGGAAACGAUAGCUAAUACCGCAUAAUCUCUUCGGAGCAAAGAGGGGGACCUUCGGGCCUCUCGCGUCAGGAUUAGCCCAGGUGGGAUUAGCUUGUUGGUGAGGUAAUGGCUCACCAAGGCUACGAUCCCUAGCUGGUCUGAGAGGAUGAUCAGCCACACUGGAACUGAGACACGGUCCAGACUCCUACGGGAGGCAGCAGUGGGGAAUAUUGCACAAUGGGGGGAACCCUGAUGCAGCCAUGCCGCGUGUGUGAAGAAGGCCUUCGGGUUGUAAAGCACUUUCAGUAGGGAGGAAGGUAGUGUAGUUAACACCUGCAUUAUUUGACGUUACCUACAGAAGAAGCACCGGCUAACUCCGUGCCAGCAGCCGCGGUAAUACGGAGGGUGCGAGCGUUAAUCGGAAUUACUGGGCGUAAAGCGCAUGCAGGCGGCCUGUUAAGUCAGAUGUGAAAGCCCGGGGCUUAACCUCGGAAUUGCAUUUGAAACUGGCAGGCUAGAGUCUUGUAGAGGGGGGUAGAAUUUCAGGUGUAGCGGUGAAAUGCGUAGAGAUCUGAAGGAAUACCAGUGGCGAAGGCGGCCCCCUGGACAAAGACUGACGCUCAGAUGCGAAAGCGUGGGGAGCAAACAGG